AUUGAACGCUGGCGGCAGGCCUAACACAUGCAAGUCGAACGAGUGGCGGACGGGUGAGUACUGUCUGGGAAACUGCCCGUUGGAGGGGGAUAACUACUGGAAACGGUAGCUAAUACCGCAUACCAUCGGAUGUGCCCCGAUGGGACUAGCUAGUAGGUGGGGUAACGGCUCACCUAGGCGACGAUCCCUAGCUGGUCUGAAAGGAUGACCAGCCUACCUGGAACUGAGACACGGACCAGACUACUACGGGAGGCAGCAGUGGGGAAUAUGGCGCAAGGGGCGCAAGCCUGAUGCAGCCAUGCCGCAUGUAUGAAGAAGGCCUUCGGGUUGUAAAGUACUUUCAGCGAGGGGGCGUUACUCGCAGAGGAAGCACCGGCUAACUCCGUGCCAGCAGCCGCGGUAAUAC
rnacentral:rRNA from 1 species